rnacentral:rRNA from 1 species
CGUAGGGGCAAGCGUUAUCCGGAUUCAUUGGGCGUAAAGCGCGCGUAGGCGGUCUGUUAGGUCAGGAGUUAAUCUGGGGCUCAACCCCUAUCCGCUCCUGAUACCGGCAGGCUUGAGUCUGGUAGGGAAGAUGGAAUUCCAAGUGUAGCGGUGAAAUGCGCAGAUAUUGGAAGAACACCGGUGCGAAGGCGGUCUCUGGGCCAUGACUGACGCUGAGGCGCGAAAAGCUAGGGGAGCGAACAGGAUU